UGCAGUCGAGCGCCCCCUUCAGAGGACAGAGUACGGAAUACGGGGAUCGGAAGGUUUGACCUUCUGAUACCGGUUUUCUGUUUUCUGUAUUCUGAUGGGGGAGCGGCGGACGGGUGAGUAACGCGUGGGAAUUUUCCUCAAGGUACGGAACAACUCAGGGAAACUUGGGCUAAUACCGUAUGAUGUCUAGCGACCAAAGAUUUAUCGCCUUGGGAUAAGCCCGCGUCAGAUUAGGUAGUUGGUGGGGUAACGGCCUACCAAGCCUGCGAUCUGUAGCUGGUCUGAGAGGACGAUCAGCCACACUGGGACUGAGACACGGCCCAGACUCCUACGGGAGGCGGCAGUGGGGAAUCUUGCGCAAUGGGCGAAAGCCUGACGCAGCCAUGCCGCGUGAAUGAUGAAGGUCUUAGGAUUGUAAAGUUCUUUCGCCCGUGACGAUGAUGACGGUAACGGGAGAAGAAGCCCCGGCUAACUUCGUGCCAGCAGCCGCGGUAAUACGAAGGGGGCUAGCGUUGUUCGGAAUUACUGGGCGUAAAGCGCGCGUAGGCGGUUUUGCAAGCCAGAGGUGAAAUGCCUGAGCUCAACUUAGGAAUUGCCUUUGGGACUGCGAGGCUUUGAGGACGGAAGAGGUGAGUGGAAUUCCCAGUGUAGAGGUGAAAUUCGUAGAUAUUGGGAAGAACACCGGUGGCGAAGGCGGCUC
rnacentral:rRNA from 1 species